UUACUCUGAAAGAAUUUUCCAUACAAGGUUCUGUACUGGAAUGAUACCGAGAAGACGGACAGCAGCAUAUUUGAGCUAACAGAAAGAGAAAUCAAUACAGACAUCAAAGAAGGGAAUUUAUUUUUCAAAGACACAGGAGCAAAAUUGGAUCACAGUUAUAGCACAUUUUGAAGCAGACUAUAAGGUAUGCCUUACAGAGUUACCUUCAAAAUGUUAUUAAAUUUUAUUGGAGUUAUUCCUCUUUGGUAACAUUAGUGGUGUAAUUUUAUCUAUAUAUGGAUCUAAUUUACAUAUUAAUUAGCAAACAACCAAUGAAAAUCUAUU